rnacentral:lncRNA from 1 species
CGCCUUCAAGUCUCCAUCCUGAAUUCCUUGCAAAGCUUAUGCAAAUCUCCAAUUCCAGCUAUCUGAGUCAAUCUCUCUGUGUCUUUUUGAUGGAGAGCCUCCUCCCUUAUUAUAUAAAAACCCUCCUCCAAGUUGGCUUCAAUUAGAAUCCAAAAUAAAGUAGAAAUUGGCCUUAGAACCCCAACUAUUCAAAACUCGACC